GCAAGUAAUCUCGAUGUUUGAAUGUUUGAAUGAUCGACUGAAAAGAAGACACAAACAAUUUCAAACAGUGUCUCUGGUACCAGGACAAAGCAGGAACAUUCUGAUCCUAGAGUUGUUUAAACAAAGGCUGGAGAGUACUGCCUUCUUUGGCAUACCAGAACCCACAGUAAGAUGCUAGGUCUGUUGUCGUCUGGAUGAUUAUAGCACAAGUGAAACAGAAGAAUAAGAGAUUUGAAGGCGUUAAUGCUGGAAAUAGUGAUGGAUAAUCACUAUGCUUCUGAGCUAGGGAAGAAAAUGAAGCCUGAAGAUAAUUUGGAAACCAGGAGAACUGAGACAAGGGGAAAAGAGGGAGAAGCAGAAUCAUCACUAUCCAGCUCCCCAAGUAAUAUGAGAUCCAAAGCUGGCUGCUGUGGUGUAUGCCUGUAAUCCCAGCUACUCAGGAGACUGAGUUGGAAGGAUCUCUUGAGC